UGGGGAAUCUUCCGCAAUGGACGAAAGUCUGACGGAGCAACGCCGCGUGAGUGAUGACGGCCUUCGGGUUGUAAAGCUCUGUUAAUCGGGACGAAUGGUUCUUGUGCGAAUAGUGCAAGGAUUUGACGGUACCGGAAUAGAAAGCCACGGCUAACUACGUGCCAGCAGCCGCGGUAAUACGUAGGUGGCAAGCGUUGUCCGGAAUUAUUGGGCGUAAAGCGCGCGCAGGCGGAUUGGUCAGUCUGUCUUAAAAGUUCGGGGCUUAACCCCGUGAUGGGAUUGAAACUGCCAAUCUAGAGUAUCGGAGAGGAAAGUGGAAUUCCUAGUGUAGCGGUGAAAUGCGUAGAUAUUAGGAAGAACACCAGUGGCGAAGGCGACUUUCUGGACGAAAACUGACGCUGAGGCGCGAAAGCCAGGGGAGCGAACGGG
rnacentral:rRNA from 1 species